AUUGAACGCUGGCGGCAGGCCUAACACAUGCAAGUCGAGCGGAGCGGCGGACGGGUGAGUAAUGCCUAGGAAUCUGCCUGGUAGUGGGGGAUAACGUCCGGAAACGGGCGCUAAUACCAAAAGAUACCAGAUGAGCCGAGGUCGGAUUAGCUAGUUGGUGGGGUAAAGGCCUACCAAGGCGACGACCCGUAACUGGUCUGAGAGGAUGAUCAGUCACACUGGAACUGAGACACGGUCCAGACUCCUACGGGAGGCAGCAGUGGGGAAUAUUGGACAAUGGGCGAAAGCCUGAUCCAGCCAUGCCGCGUGUGUGAAGAAGGUCUUCGGAUUGUAAAGCACUUUAAGUUGGGAGGCGUUACCAACAGAAUAAGCACCGGCUAACUUCGUGCCAGCAGCCGCGGUAAUUC
rnacentral:rRNA from 1 species